rnacentral:tRNA from 1 species
UAUAAUUUAAUGUACGAUAGCAUAAAAGUUUUUGAUACUUUAAGAAAUAGUUUAAUUCUAUUAAAUAUAA